GGAACAGUCAGUGCUUGGAGGAGGUGCCUAUGAGAAACAUUGAGGAGGUCAGACCACUCACUAAUAAAACCAGAGUGAGAGAGGUGUUGGGUCCCACCUCAAGAGAGAAGGUUCAUGCCAUGGAUGCCCAGUGGUGCUGAAUGUCACAGCUGAAACCACAGCUUGCCUACCAGGAGCAGAGGGAAGAUGGAUCAUCUUCAGCUGCAGCAGGGAGGGUGCAGGGAUGCAGUGAUGGGCUGUGAUUCUGUGGUUCAUUCAGAGAACAGCUGGGUGAGGAAACUUCUUAGUGAGGGUGUGAGUGUCUGAAUUUUCCCUCAUCUGCCUCACAAUCGUCAUUUGGGGACCACUGAAGAAAAGACCCCCCCCGCCUAAAAUCUGUGGCUCUGAAGGAGAAAGUUACACACGUCAAGGGCCCCGAGACCUGAGAGCACAGUGCUAAGUUAUUGUUCACAGAUGGUGUUUGCUGUAUGCUACACUGAGCCCAAUGAGAAGAAGAAGGAGACACAGUGCCCUUUUUGCAACAACAGCCUUGGAAGGCUGGACUUCUCCUGAGUUUUUGGUGGUCUCCCACAGAAGACCCUCACCUGUUUUACAACCACCAUGACAGACAGACUGAGAUGUAAGAAGCCUCUUCAUCAAGGACUGAGACAUGAAACCCCCAUGUGGAAAGGCCCCUCUGCUCCUUCCAAGGACUGAGACUGAAACCCCCAUGUGGAAAGGCCCCUCUGCUCCUUCCAAGGACUGAGACAUGAAACCCCCAUGUGGAAAGGCCCCUCUGCUCCUUCCAAGGACUGGGACUG